ACGUAGGGGGCAAGCGUUGUCCGGAUUCAUUGGGCGUAAAGAGCGUGUAGGCGGCCAGGUAGGUCGGUUGUGAAAACUGGAGGCUCAACCUUCAGAGGUCGACCGAAACCAUCUGGCUAGAGUCCGGGAGAGGAGAGUGGAAUUCCUGGUGUAGCGGUGAAAUGCGCAGAUAUCAGGAGGAACACCGGUGGCGAAGGCGGUUCUCUGGGCAUGUCCUGACGCUGAGGAGCGAAAGUGUGGGGAGCGAACAGGA
rnacentral:rRNA from 1 species